UACGGUCUACCGAUUAAUCAUUUUGAAUAAUAAACGAUACAAUAAUUCAGUGAAUCCCAAAUGUGUGCAUGUGAAUUUACUUUCAGUGUAAAGACAAUUCAAGUGUAAUAAUAAAAAUAGUAAAGCAUGAACAUUUAAUUGUCGAUUCUCUGUUUUUAGAUGAAUCACAUGGUGUUAUGCUUUAAAGGAGAAAAACCCAUCUUAUAAAUCGACAAUUCUUAUACAUGCAAAAAAAAGAAAAAACCUGCAUACCUACCUACAAAAUGGAGAAAUUAAGAUUUGAAUUUGUUGUAAAAGCCAAACCGGAUGAUAAUAAGACAAAUAUUUAUGUAAUAACCUCCAUUAUGGAUACACAAAAUCAAACUUUUGUUGUGCCUAGAGAGUAUCAACCGGUACAGCUACACAAAGAAAUAAUAAAACAUGAAAUAUUUG
rnacentral:lncRNA from 1 species